rnacentral:lncRNA from 1 species
AGAUAACUCAUUUGAGAAGCUAACGUUGGAGGUGGUAUGUCAUGCGAAUGGACUUCCUUUAGCCCUAAAAGUGUGGGGUUCUUUCUUACACAAUAGGGACAUAACUGCGUGGAGAAGUGCUAUAGAGCAAAUGAAAAUGAACUCUAAAUCAGAAAUCGUUGAAAAGCUCAAAAUUAGCUAUGAUGGACUGGAGACCAUACAACGAGAUGUAUUUCUACAUAUAGCAUGCUUCUUACGAGGGCAAACAAAGGAGUACAUCAUGCAAAUUCUUGAGAGUUGUUAUGCUGGAGCAGCUAUUGAAUUGAGCGUCCUUAUUGACAAAUCUCUUGUGUUCAUCUCUGACGAUGAUACAAUUCAAAUGCAUGACUUAAUACAAGAUAUGGGUAAAUAUAUAGUAAAACUGCAAAAGAAUGAUCCCAGUGAAUAUAGCAGACUAUGGGAUCCUAAUGAUUUCGAAGAAGUGAUGGUCAACAAUACAGUAAGUAGACUAAACAAUGCAAUAAUAUUCAAUUUAUGGUUUUCAUAUACCAAUAUUCAUUUAUCUUAUGUUAUUAUGUCAUGAAUUAGUCUAGUAGCCGCUUAAAAUGUUUAAUUCCAACUUUCAUUUUUGGAUUAAUUUGAAAUUUGUACGAUAUUUUGUACAUUAUAACUCAAUCAGUAAAAGUAUAAGUUAAGAUUAUCUAGCUAUGUAUCCUUAGUAACCUUUUAAUGAUGAAUAUCCUCAAAUGGAAAAAUACAAAAUAUUUUUAGUGGUGCUAGCUCUUUAAUUAAGAACUUCAAGUUCAAUAAUAAUUAGUAAUAUAAAACAUGACAAAAUUUGGCAUUGCAGGGAGUG